AUUGAACGCGGCCGGCAUUCGUUACACAUGCAAGUCGAACGGCAGCAUGACGUGUAGCAAUACACGUUGAUGGCGAGUGGCGAACGGGUGAGUAAUAUAUCGGAACGUGCCCUGUAGCGGGGGAUAACCUAUCGAAAGAUGGAGUAAUACCGCAUACGCUCUACGGAGGAAAGCGGGGGUCGCAAGACCUCGCACUAUAGGAGCGGCCGAUAUCGGAUUAGCUAGUUGGCGGGGUAAAAGCCCACCAAGGCGACGAUCCGUAGCUGGUCUGAGAGGAUGAUCAGCCACACUGGAACUGAGACACGGUCCAGACUCCUACGGGAGGCAGCAGUGGGGAAUUUUGGACAAUGGGCGCAAGCCUGAUCCAGCCAUGCCGCGUGAGUGAAGAAGGCCUUCGGGUUGUAAAGCUCUUUCGGCAGGAACGAAAUGGUUCGUGCUAAUACCACGGACUGAUGACGGUACCUGAAGAAGAAGCACCGGCUAACUACGUG
rnacentral:rRNA from 1 species